rnacentral:rRNA from 1 species
CGCCUCCCUCCGCCGCCACUCAGACUCCGUACGGGACGGCGAGCGAGGUGGGUAAGUUUGCGCAAGUACGGGGAAACCCGUACGGACGCAGCAACGCCGCGUGGAGGAGUGAAGCCCGUUGGGUGUAACUCCUUUCGAUCGGGAAGAUGAUGACGGUACCGAUAUAAGAAGCCCGGCUAACUUCGUGCCAGCAGCCGCGGUAAUUC